UAUAGAGGUCUCAAGCGUUGUCCGGAUUUAUUGGGCGUAAAGAGCUCGUAGGCGGUUGGGUAAGUCGGGUGUGAAAACUCCAGGCUCAACUUGGAGAUGCCACCCGAUACUGCUCUGACUUGAGUUCGGUAGGGGAGUGGGGAAUUCCUGGUGUAGCGGUGAAAUGCGCAGAUAUCAGGAGGAACACCGGUGGCGAAGGCGCCACUCUGGGCCGAAACUGACGCUGAGGAGCGAAAGCGUGGGUAGCAAACAGG
rnacentral:rRNA from 1 species